CCCCUCCCCCACUCCGAGCCAAGACCAAGACCCGCGCAAGACGUCACUCAACUGUCUUCGUGACGUAACAGACCAACAGUUCAAAACCCAGUGUCGUGGAGGUUGGUCGCUGCUCCUCGGUCCGGCGGUGAGAAUCUUUCAAGUGUGUGAAAACAAAACCACAAAAAAACAAUAAAAAAAACGCGGACUAAGAAAUGAUUGUGAUUGGUGUGUGUGUGUGAGAACCAAAACAAACAAACAAACAAACAAAACAGUAAUAUUAUGAUAAGGAAAAUUUUAAUAGUGAGAGUGAAAGUGAAGACAAUAUCGUAAGGAAAUGAAAAUUGAUGAAAGUGAAAGAGAGUGAGAAAGAGAAAAGUCAUUGUCUUCGUUAUUGUUGUUGUUUUUGUUGAAGGUGAGGUAGAGAAUCUGAGCCUCUUAAUAAGGAAAAUGCUGAUUGUGAGAGUGAAGGUGAAAACAAUAUCGUAAGGAGAUGAAAAUGAUGAAAGUGAAAGAGUGAGAAACAGAAGUCAUUGUUAUUGUUGUUGUUUUUGUUGAAGGUGAGGAAGAGAAUCUAAGCCUCUUAAUAAGGAAAAUGCUGAUUGUGAGAGUGAAAGUGAAGACAAUAUCGUAAGGAGAUGAAAAUGAUGAAAGUGAAAGUGAAAAAAUGAUAAUGAAAAUGUUGAUAGUGAGAGUGAAAGUGAAGACAAUAUCGUAAGAUGAAAAUGAUGAAAGUGAGAGGUAGAAAGUGAUAAGGAAAAUGCUGUUCGUGAAAGUGAAAGUGAAAACAAUAUCGUAAGGGGAUGGAAAUGAUGAAAGUGAAAGUGAAAAAGUGAUAAGGAAAAUGUUGAUAGUGAGUGAAAGUGAAAACAAUAUCGUAAGGAGAUGAAAAUGAUGAAAGUGAAAGUGAAAAAGUGAUAAGGAAAAUGCUGAUAGUGAGAGUGAAAGUGAAAACAAGAUUGUAAGGAGAUAAAAAUGAUGAAAGUGAGAAAGUGAGAAGAUGAAAGCGGUGAAGAAAAUCUGAGCCUCUUAAUUAUUUACCUGAAACACCUGGAACACACCUGGACUCCUCUACACAGGUGAGUUUCCCGGCGCGGCCAUUCACGGUCAAACAAACAAACAAACAACAAGAAAAAGCAACAAGAACAUUCAAUAAACAAGAGUCCCAGAUAUUCAAACAUUCAACAAGGCGAGCUGGACGAACCAACAGAGCGGGCUGAAGCGAUCCAAUCCCAGAUGAUCCCAAGCGAGCCGGUAUAAGGGAAUUGGAUCCUAUACUCGCCCGGCUAUAAGGGAAUCGGAUCCUGUACCAUGCAAACACAAGGAGGAUUAGAAGGAGGAAGAGGAGGGUCAGAGUCUAUACAAAUGCUUAUGGAUCUUAAAGAGGGCAAGCGUACGUACGGACAGGCGGCCCAGGCACGGACACCCCCCACGGACCGGGCGUCGAGUUCCCUUCAGUGACCCCCUCAGGAAUACUGGACGAGAAAGAAAACGGGGGACGAGUGUUAGCUGCUGGUGCGGAGGACGACGAAGAUGGGAGGAAUAUAGGAAUGCUGUUGGAAGAAGAGGAAGAAGAAGAAGAGGAGGAGGUUGAGAUAUAGAAGACAGAGGAAGAAAAGAACACGUGAAGAAGAAAAGGAGGUGCAGAGGAAGAAGAAAAAACAGAAGAAGAUGAAGAAGAAGAAGAGGAGAUUGAGAGAUAGAAGACAGAGGAAGAAAAGAUGAAGAAAAUAACACAUGAAGAAGAAAAGGAGGUGCAGAGGAAGAAGAAAAAACAGAAGAUGAAGAAGAAGAGGAGGAGGAGGUUAAGAUAUAGAAGACAGAGGAAGAAAAGAUGAAGAAAAUAACACCUGAAGAAGAAAAGGAGGCGCAGAGAAAGAAGAAAAGAAUAGAAGAUGAUGAUGAAAAAGAAGACGGAGAAGAUUGAAAAAAGGAGAAAAAGAAAAGUUGCAUAAGAGGAUAUAGAAGAAAAGAUAAAGAAGAUAAGGAGAAGAAAAGAAAGUGAACAGAAAUAAGAAAGAUGACAUAAGAGGAUACAGAAGAAGAAAACAGAUAAUAAAAGAAGAUAAGAAGAUUGAGAAGAAGGUAAAGAAAGAACACAGAAAGAGAAAGAAGAUAAAGAAGAAGAUUACGAAAGAAAAUGAGAACCAAAACCAUAAACAAGAUAAAAAGAAGAGAAGGAGAAGAUAAAGAAGAAGAGAAGUAGGAUAACGAAGACUAACAUUGAAUAGUAAUAGUAGUAGAAAACCAAUUAACUCUGCUAUGAGAGAACAUGAAUUUAACAACACAUGUCUUAAUAUUAAAUGGUAUCUCUAAAAUGUAUUAAACAGAAACAGCA